rnacentral:lncRNA from 1 species
AAAGUUGAAAAAAUAUCUUCAAUCAGACCGACCUUCUCUAGAGUAAGUGGCAAAGGAUUUGGUGGCUGGUAUCCGAAACGCAAGUUCGAAUCUUAGUUGAUUCACAUUUCCAGCUAAGUUUAUUUCUAAAUGAAAUAAACGAAGCGGGUAGCGUGCUAUCUAUCUCUUAAAAAAAAAAAAAAAUCUUCAAUCAGGAGCCUAUUUUCGACAGAGAAGCUUUGAUCUGCUGUCAUGUAUUAAUUUUUUCUUUAGAUUUUAUAUUAAAAAAUAGCCAAUAAAUUUUUAAAUGUAAAUAAAACUAAUACGAGGUGUCAUUGAGAAGCUCUUCACCGAAAUUUUAUCCACA